CUACCUCUUCAUCGUCACUGUUGUGUUUUGCGGUAGAAAUGGGUACUUGCUUGGAGAACGCACGACAAGAGGGAGAGAAGGCUGGGUUCAAGGGCCCACACGCGUUUAUCGAAGGAAUAAUGAUUACUGGGUAACUCUGUUGACAUUAACCAAAUUGGAACUGUACUUGCUUGGAGUCUACAACAGUAACGCUUGCUUGGUGUGCAACAACCAGUGGUGGCCCUACCAGUCAACACAGUUGUUCGAGAGAUGUCCAGUUUCAUGCAACAGAAAAGACCAGCAAGGGGACCCUCAGAAUCACGCAGACAUGCCCUUCCUGUGAGCAUUCCUGUAAAUGGAACAGUGGGGACACUUGGAUCAGUAUCUUUGAGGGGCCAGGAGCUCAUCUACGCUGCCAUGCCCAUCAAUGGGGCGCUGGCAAAGAACUUACCUCCAGCCUCACUUCUUGCCUGCUUAAUAACGGUCGUCAAUGGAGAGGUAGAUGCAUCUAUUGACCCAGCACUAGGAGACUUGCAAGAUGAUGUGAUGAAGUCCAGACUGACAUACGGGCUUCAUACUGAUGUCUCUAAAUGGAGAGAGACCUGGUACUUGGCAUGAACAUUUUACUAGACAUCUUUUACUUAUUGUCUUUUUUUUAUUAUUGAAUGAAUGGUAUCAGUCAAUAUGGGGAGGGAGAAGCCCAGUGUAUUCUGCACCAGGAUCAGGUAACUCCUGGUGUAUACAGGACACCAUAUAUGUCUUGGUGGCGGCAAGGACACA